AAGUGAAAAAGAGGUAAAAUAAGAAUUAUUUUAAAAAUUCUCGAUUUUCUCUUCUCCUUUUCAAUUUCUAGUGUGCUUCUGUGAAUGUGGCCUUGGCUGCGGGGGAACCACCUGUGCACACGGCGCAUGCGCUGAAGGGCGUGGAGACCCUGAGUCCUCAACGUGGUGGCUGCGCAUGCUCCAAAGGGCAUGGAGACCCUGUUCUUCAACGUGGUGCCUGCGCCAGGGCGUGGAGCCCCUGUGUCUUCCUCACUGCGGUGGCUUGGAGGUUGUGCAACGUUGUGGCCAGGCUCCUCUGUUACAUCUCCCUCCCAUCCCUUGGUCCCCCUGUCUGUCACCUGUUUCCUACACGGCUGUCGUCUCCCCCAAAGCUUUUGCCAUUUGAAAAUCACUCCCCGCUCUUUGACAGUUUUGGCUCCAAGGACUCUUCAAGGAGAAACGCUUCAUGACGCGCAGGGAGACCAGAUCUGGAUCCAGAAGGAGUGGCACUCAGGAACCUGCCAGUCCUCUACCCCGAGGCUGGAGAAGCAACUGGUGGUGGGAACAGUUUCAGAUUAGUAAGGUAAAGUUGGGCUUGGCCUUGGGGCCCUCCUGCCUCAGCCUCCUAGGAGUGCUGGGAUGACAGGGAUGUGCUGCGCCUGGAUGGGAGAGGAGACUUGUAGAAAACCACAUGCAUUUUUCUAACACUUCCUGCCCCUGCUGGCUCUGCUUUGACAGCGGCUGUGUCAGGAGAAAGUGUACAGAUUGCCAAGUGCCCAGAGUCCUGGUUCCCUGACUUCAGGCUGUGCCACUUGGCUGUGGGUGCUGGGAGUCCUACCUAGGUGACCGUGUCCUGUGCAUCUCACACACUCAUGCACGCCGAGUGCUCCAGUAGCUUUAAUGCGUAAAGAAAUCCCUACAAACUUUUUAACAUCUCCAUCCCAGGGGAUCUUUUCAGGAUGAAUUUUGGGUGCCCUGGGACAGAGCUGGGUCCCCCAUGUACAUCCCGGUCAUGAGGAGAGCUUGAGCAUGACUGACUGACUUUUUUCCCUUUCCUUUCCUUUCCUUUCUUCUUUCUUUCUUUCUUUCUUUCUUUCUUUCUUUCUUUCUUUCUUUCUUUCUUUUUUGAGACAGGAUCUCAAGAUGUAGUUCAGGCUGGCCCUGAAUCCAUUGGGUAGCCCAGGCUGGCCUCGAACUUGUAGCAAUCCUGCUGCCUCAGCCUCCCAAGUGGUAGGGUUACAGGCAUGCACAACCAUGCCCGGCUUGAAUAUGAAUUUUGAACUCAACCUCCGUUUCCAGGUCCUCAAGACUUUCCUGUCUUGGAGACAUUUUCUCCGUCUGCUGCAGAUGGUGCAGAUGGGAGAUGGGUCUAAGAACCUAGAAGAAACUCCGAAGCUGUCAUCUGGUGAGUCUACACCCACUUCCCCUUGCUCCACCUAGUUCUGCACGUCUGAGCGUGGUUAACUGGGAGGCAGCUACCUCUGGGGAGCUGUGGUUUUCUCCACACCAGAGUGACUCAUUAGAGAGAGAGGGAGACAGGUCACAGAGGGACAGGUCACCCUGCUGUAGGACUAAUGAUUCCAGAAGCUGUGGUCUAGUGGACAGAUGCUAAAGAGGACUACAUAAAGCUCUUUGGCUUGUUUUGAAAGCUAAACCAGUGUGUGAAACGUAGUUUCCCCCAGACUCCAAACACACUAUUAGCCCUCUUGAAAUGUGGGCUUAGUUUAAAAAUUCAGAAGCCCAGAAGGGGCUGGGGGCGUGCUCAGUGGUAGAGCACUGGCCUAUGACACGAAGGCCCUGGGUUCAGUUGUCAGCUCCGACAAAAGAAACCUAAAAAAUAAAUAAAAACCAAACCCCUGGGAAUGGUGAAGCGGUGUCUCCAUUCAGCUAUUCAUAGUUCCGCCUGACAAGAGGAAAGUACAUGAGGAUUUGUGUUGGGUGGUGUUGGGGAAGGAACCCGGCCUUGCACACGCUAAACACUGCUUCCCUUCACCCCUAGUCCCUUGCCAAGUUUUCAUGUUCCUCUAAAAAAUAUUUUAGAACCGGGGAUUUAGCUCAGUGGUUUCGCCACCUGCUGCGCAAGCGCAAGGACCCAAGUUCGAUUCCCGGUACCACAAAAAUAAAAAAUUUAUUUAAAAAAAUAUACAAAGUCACCCAUUCUCCACAGCUCUGUUUUGUCAUCAGAAAGUGUAAGAAUAAAUCCUCACCAGGAGAGGGCGCUGGACCACAAAGAAACUCGGAUUGUUUUGGAGACAAAACCUGGUGUCAGCGUCAGUAUCUCAGGGGCGAAUGUUAGCUGCUUUCACUGUGAUUCCGGUGCCCUUUGGCUGCUCGGCCCAAGGACCGCAGAUUUCACCGUCAGCUCCUCAGGUGUGAAGGUGCACUCCUCCCCUGGUGUGGGGUGGAGCCCGGGGCUCACACUCGGCAGCCGAGCGCUAUCCCCGCCUAGAGCGGUCACACAGCCUAAGGACGCACCUCGCACUCAGCCACUGCUCCGCGCCUCGGCCUCUGUCCGCCCCGCCACCCGAGCCCCCCACGCUUCCCGCUGAAGGGCUGAUGGCACCUGUCCUUGGGACCUGCAGGGAACCUCACUGAACAAACACAACUUGGUGAGGUCGAGGCAGGAGGCCUUGAGUUCUAAUCCCGCCUGGGCAAUGUAAUGAACGCUUGUUUCAAAAUAAACACUAAAAAGGGCUGGGGAUGUAGCUACCACACACAGGCACGCACGCACGCACGCACACACACGCACUCACACGGGGCUUUUUAAAAAAAUUAACUUUGUUAUCAAACACACACACAAAAUUAAAACCACUCAAAGAAGAACAAUGCAAGGGGAAAAAACCUACAAUAAUAUUCAAAUACAGUAGAACUCAACCAAAACAAAACUGAAAAGUACUUAAACAUUUUUCCAUACAACUUAAAAAAGCAUCUCAAGCACCAACAAGACACCAGAGGAUGUGAUUUGUUUCAGAAAGGUCCCCCAAACCAACAUUGAACAAAUAAUGAUCUGGAAAAAAAAAAACCCCAGCAGACUCCACAUAAGCCAAACUUCUCCACAGGGUUUAGUUUUAGAAACAAAUAAUAGCACUUUUACUUCCUUUUUGACUUUUUUUUUUUCUGGUACCGGGGAUCGAACUUGGGACUUUGCACUUGGGGAGGCAGGCGGUGGAACCACUGAGCGAAAUCCCCCGCCCCCUUUUUGACUUUCUGUCGCACUCCAAGUUCAAGUCUGGCUUCCGUGUGGUCCGAAUGCACCCACUGAAGGUCCUCCUGCCCGAGAUCUCCC
rnacentral:lncRNA from 1 species